ACGCGAACGCAAAAACCUGUAAGUUUUGGUUAAACAUGAACAAUUAACAGCUACGCGAACGAACCUUAUGUUAGUUGCAAACGUUGAAUGUAAAUAGUUGGAAAAUGAAAAACGGCACUUGGUGAUACUAAUGAAAUUAUUUUUAGUAUCGGCUAUUACGGCUUACGACUGACUUGGGCCAUUCACGUCUGACAUGAGACUUUGCUUAGUUAUUGACUUAACAAAAAUCAGUACAAAUCAGUACAGAAUCCAAAAAUUCAGUAUAUUUGCGUGCUGAUUUAAGAAUCAGUACGAGGAAUGAAAAAUCAGUACUGUACUGAUGAAAUCAGUACGUCUGGCAACCCUAACUAGCAUCCAGAAGAGUAGGUGCAUCACCCCAGAAGCAAUUUGGAAAUUUUGGUUUAACUACAUUUAGCAGCAUUUUGGGCGCUUCGCAAAGGAUUUUGAUGACCUAGUUGCCAAUGAAAAACAGUUCAAGGAGAAUUUUCAUAUGGAUGUAUGUAGUUUCAACGAGUUGUAUGAGCUGGUUCAUCCUCAACUGCAACCUAAAAAGCGAACAAGGCCAAACGACGAAAUUUCACCAAAGCAAAAGCUGGCUGUCGUGUUGGACGAUCCUGCCAGGAGAUAUUGCGUACUGCAAGCAAGCAAUCAGCAACAAAAAUAUUUCACUAGGAGUUACCCGUGUGCUAACAGGAUUAUCGUAUCAGCUUGUGAAAUUCCUUCCUAUUGUUUUACUGGUGCAAGGAGUUCAACUGUUGAAACUGCAACAAAACUAUCACUCUCAACAGCUUCAAUCAUCAACCAAAACAAGUGCAAUAACUGAUUUUCUCACUGUCCUCAUCACAGCCAACGCAAUCGAGUUCACCGGCCUAUGAUAAGUGAAUUAUGAACAUUAAGAACCUACGAAAGCUACUGCUGCUGCUGCAUUACCUAGUGCCGAUGGUUUCUUUGGCUAUUUCGACAAGACAUAGUCCAACUUCUUUCCGACCUCGCCAACAGCUAGGAGAAUUCCCACAAUAACUAUCACAGCUUGGUAUUGCACUACCCCACAUCAUUAUUAUCACUAUCAGCCGACGACGUCAAAGCAUUUGAGUAGCGAAAGUGACGGCAGCAACUGGCACAGUAACUAAAGGAACAUACAAAGCAGCCGCAGCAAUAAGCAACGUCCGGUCGCUGUUAAUAGCAGCAAUUUCAGUACACAGUGGAUAUGUUGAGGCAACAAAGAAGGCGCACUUGUAAAAUGAAGUUAUUAGUAUGAAGUAGGAGCUCAGGCACAUUUGGAAAAUUAUGCCGAUAAUCAAGAUGGAAUUUGGGAAAAAAUGUUAUAAAUCGAGUGGAGUUAUUUAAGAUGUGCUCCAAAUAUUUGGCGAACUUUUUUUCGCCUUCUCAACGUGCUAAGUGACAAGGUAAGAUGACUGCCACCACGGCCGUUAAGAAACCCGAGCAUAGGGAAAACUACCUUCCAGGAAGCUGCCUGCUGUACCCUAGUCGAAGCUGAAGUUAAGCAAGAAGUAGGUCAGCAAACGUGCUACCCUGAUCAAGCGUAAACUAAAGCGCUCUGCUGUGAUUGCACUCCGCAAGCGUGAAAACUUGGAGCAUGCUGAGAAAUAUCAAGCAAAAUAUCUCCGUCAUGGACGCCGUGAGAUGAAAUUGCGCUAUCUGGCAAAGAAACGCGGCCCAUUCUACGUGAACGCAGAAUGGCUUUUGUGAUCUGUAUCUACGGUAUCAACAAAGUUGCACCAAAAGUGCGUAAAGCUUUACUGUGGUUCCGUCUUCGCCAGAUUAACAACGGUUUGUUCAUCGAAUUGAACAAGGCAACCAUUAAUAUGCUACGGAUUGCCGAACCCUAUAUUACAUGGGGCUAUCUAAAUCUUAAAUCAGUUCGUACAAACGUGGAAUUGUCAAGCACAACCAUCAACGUGUCCCAAACUCUGACAACUUUGUGAUCGAACGCAAAUUGCGCAAAGCGCACGAUAUUCAGUGCGUUGAUUAUUUGGCGCACGAAAUAUUCACUGUUGGAUCCCACUUCAAGAAAGCCUCCAACUUACUGUGGCCACUACGUUCAGGUUGGUGAUUUCGGUAACCGGGAAAAUAAUAUCAACAAACUGCUGCACAAGAUGGUUUAAAGAAAUUUUCUGGGG